AUUGAACGCUGGCGGCAGGCCUAACACAUGCAAGUCGAGCGAGCGGCGGACGGGUGAGUAAUGUCUGGGAAACUGCCUGUUGGAGGGGGAUAACUACUGGAACCGUUAGCUAUUACCGCAUACCAUCAGAUGUGCCCAGAUGGGUUUAGCUAGUAGUUGGGGUAAUGGCUCACCUAGGCGACGAUCCCUAGCUGGUCUGAGAGGAUGACCAGCCACACUGGAACUGGGACACGGACCAGACUCCUACGGGAGGCAGCAGUGGGGAAUAUUGCAAAAUGAGCGCAAGCCUGAUGGAGCCAUGCCGCGUGUGUGAAGAAGGGCUUCGGGUGGUAAAGCACUUUCAGCGAGGAGGCGUUAAUCGCAGAAGAAGCACAGGCUAACUCCGUGGCAGCAGCCGCGGUAAUUC
rnacentral:rRNA from 1 species